rnacentral:rRNA from 1 species
GACGAACGCUGGCGGCGUGCUUAACACAUGCAAGUCGAACGGAAGGCCCUGCUUUUGUGGGGUGCUCGAGUGGCGAACGGGGGAGGAACACGUGAGUAACCUGCCCUUGACUUUGGGAUAACUUCAGGAAACUGGGGCUAAUACCGGAGAGGAGCUCCUGCUGCAUGGUGGGGGUUGGAAAGUUUCGGCGGUUGGGGAUGGACUCGCGGCUUAUCAGCUUGUUGGUGGGGUAGUGGCUUACCAAGGCUUUGACGGGUAGCCGGCCUGAGAGGGUGACCGGCCACAUUGGGCCUGAGAUACGGCCCAGACUCCUACGGGAGGCAGCAGUGGGGAAUAUUGCACAAUGGGCGGAAGCCUGAUGCAGCAACGCCGCGUGCGGGAUGACGGCCUUCGGGUUGUAAACCGCUUUCGCCUGUGACGAAGCGUGAGUGACGGUAAUGGGUAAAGAAGCACCGGCUAACUACGUG